rnacentral:miRNA from 1 species
UGAUGAUGAUGAUGAUGAUGAUGAUGAUGAUGGGUGUGAUUGGUAUAGUUAGGAAUACGAUCGAUGCCAUCAUCAACAAUAACAACAUAUAUA